rnacentral:rRNA from 1 species
GAUGAACGCUGGCGGCGUGCCUAAUACAUGCAAGUCGAACGCAGUGGGGACGGGUGAGUAACACGUGGGUAACCUCCCAUCAGAGGGGAUAACCCUUGGAAACAGGUGCUAAACUGAUACUGAUGGAUGGACUCGCGGUGCAUUAGCUAGUUGGUGGGGUAACGGCCCACCAAGGCGACGAUGCAUAGCCGACCUGAGAGGGUGAUCAGCCACACUGGAACUGAGACACGGCCCAGACUCCUACGGGAGGCAGCAGUAGGGAAUCUUCGGCAAUGGGCGAAAGUCUGACGGAGCAACGCCGCGUGAGUGAAGAAGGUUUUCGGAUCGUAAAACUCUGUUAUUAGAGAGGCGGUAUCUAACCAGAAAGCCACGGCUAACUACGUGCCAGCAGCCGCGGUAAUAC